rnacentral:rRNA from 1 species
UACGGAGGGUGCAAGCGUUAUCCGGAUUCACUGGGUUUAAAGGGUGCGUAGGUGGGCUAGUAAGUCCGUGGUGAAAUCUCUGAGCUUAACUCGGAAACUGCCGUGGAUACUAUUAGUCUUGAAUCUCGUGGAGUAAGCGGAAUAUGUCAUGUAGCGGUGAAAUGCUUAGAUAUGACAUAGAACACCGAUAGCGAAGGCAGCUUGCUACACGAGUAUUGACACUGAGGCACGAAAGCGUGGGGAUCAAACAGG